rnacentral:rRNA from 1 species
ACAGCAGCAGCCACGGGAAUACAGAGGGUGCGAGCGUUAAUCGGAUUUACUGGGCGUAAAGCGUGCGUAGGCGGCUUUUUAAGUCGGAUGUGAAAUCCCUGAGCUUAACUUAGGAAUUGCAUUCGAUACUGGGAAGCUAGAGUAUGGGAGAGGAUGGUAGAAUUCCAGGUGUAGCGGUGAAAUGCGUAGAGAUCUGGAGGAAUACCGAUGGCGAAGGCAGCCAUCUGGCCUAAUACUGACGCUGAGGUACGAAAGCAUGGGGAGCAAACAGGAUUAGAUACCCCAGUAGUCCCUGUCUCUUAUAC